AGUAAUGCCUAGGAAUCUGCCUGGUAGUGGGGGACAACGUUUCGAAAGGAACGCUAAUACCGCAUACGUCCUACGGGAGAAAGCAGGGGACCUUCGGGCCUUGCGCUAUCAGAUGAGCCUAGGUCGGAUUAGCUAGUUGGUGAGGUAAUGGCUCACCAAGGCGACGAUCCGUAACUGGUCUGAGAGGAUGAUCAGUCACACUGGAACUGAGACACGGUCCAGACUCCUACGGGAGGCAGCAGCC
rnacentral:rRNA from 1 species